AGAGUUUGAUCCUGGCUCAGAUUGAACGCUGGCGGCAUGCCUUACACAUGCAAGUCGAACGGUAACGCGGGGCAACCUGGCGACGAGUGGCGAACGGGUGAGUAAAGCAUCGGAACGUGCCCAGUAGUGGGGGAUAGCCCGGCGAAAGCCGGAUUAAUACCGCAUACGACCUAAGGGUGAAAGGGGGGGAUCGCAAGACCUCUCGCUAUUGGAGCGGCCGAUGUCAGAUUAGCUAGUUGGUGGGGUAAAAGCUCACCAAGGCGACGAUCUGUAGCUGGUCUGAGAGGACGACCAGCCACACUGGGACUGAGACACGGCCCAGACUCCUACGGGAGGCAGCAGUGGGGAAUUUUGGACAAUGGACGAAAGUCUGAUCCAGCCAUGCCGCGUGCGGGAAGAAGGCCUUCGGGUUGUAAACCGCUUUUGUCAGGGAAGAAAUCCUUUGAGCUAAUACCUCGGGGGGAUGACGGUACCUGAAGAAUAAGCACCGGCUAACUACGUGCCAGCAGCCGCGGUAAUACGUAGGGUGCAAGCGUUAAUCGGAAUUACUGGGCGUAAAGCGUGCGCAGGCGGUUAUGUAAGACAGAGGUGAAAUCCCCGGGCUCAACCUGGGAACUGCCUUUGUGACUGCAUAGCUUGAGUGCGGCAGAGGGGGAUGGAAUUCCGCGUGUAGCAGUGAAAUGCGUAGAUAUGCGGAGGAACACCGAUGGCG
rnacentral:rRNA from 1 species